GGUAAUACGGAGGGUGCGAGCGUUAUCCGGAAUCACUGGGUUUAAAGGGUGCGUAGGCGGAUUAGCAAGUCAGAGGUGAAAGCUCUCAGCUUAACUGAGGAACUGCCUUUGAAACUGCUAGUCUUGAAAUAUGGUGAGGUUGGCGGAAUGAGUCAUGUAGCGGUGAAAUGCAUAGAUAUGACUUAGAACACCGAUUGCGAAGGCAGCUGACUGGCCAUUAUUUGACGCUGAGGCACGAAAGCGUGGGGAGCGAACAGGAUUAGAUACCCUGGUAGUCCACGCCCUAAACGAUGUAUACUCGACGUUUGGAUUUAUUUCUGGGCGUCCAAGGGAAACCGUUAAGUAUACCACCUGGGGAGUACGUCGGCAACGAUGAAAC
rnacentral:rRNA from 1 species